rnacentral:rRNA from 1 species
GACGAAGGAUGCAAGCGUUAUCCGGAUUCAUUGGGCUUAAAGGGAGCGUAGGUGGCCUUGUAAGUCAGUGGUGAAAUCUGACAGCUUAACUGUUAAAUUGCCAUUGAUACUGCAAGGCUUGAGUACAGAUGCCGUUGGCGGAAUAUGACAUGUAGUGGUGAAAUACAUAGAGAUGUCAUAGAACACCGGUGGCGAAGGCGGUUCUCUGGGCCUUACCUGACGCUGAGGAGCGAAAGCGUGGGGAGCGAACAGG